rnacentral:rRNA from 1 species
GUAGGUGGCAAGCGUUGUCCGGAAUUAUUGGGCGUAAAGCGCGCGCAGGCGGUCCUUUAAGUCUGAUGUGAAAGCCCACGGCUCAACCGUGGAGGGUCAUUGGAAACUGGGGGACUUGAGUACAGAAGAGGAAAGCGGAAUUCCAAGUGUAGCGGUGAAAUGCGUAGAGAUUUGGAGGAACACCAGUGGCGAAGGCGGCUUUCUGGUCUGUAACUGACGCUGAGGCGCGAAAGCGCGGGGAGCAAACAGGAUUAGAUACCCUGGUAGUCCACGCCGUAAACGAUGAGUGCUAAGUGUUAGGGGGUUUCCCGCCCCCUUAGUGCUGCAGCUAACGCAUUAAGCACUCCGCCUGGGGGAGUACGGCCCGCAAGGCUG